rnacentral:rRNA from 1 species
CGGGCUUAACACAUGCAAGUCGAAGGAGAACCUUACUUUCGGGUGAGGGGAGACUGGCGCACGGGUGAGUAACGCGUAGGCAAUCUGCCCAUAGCAGGGGGAUAACAUCGGGAAACCGGUGCUAAUACCGCAUAAUGCAGCGGGGCCGAGUGGCCACAGUUGUUAAGGGUUUCGACCGGCUAUGGAUGAGCCUGCGUGCCAUUAGUUAGUUGGUAGGGUAAUGGCCUACCAAGGCGAUGAUGGCUAGGGGGUCUGAGAGGAUGAUCCCCCACACUGGAACUGAGACACGGUCCAGACUCCUACGGGAGGCAGCAGGGAGGAAUCUUGCGCAAUGGAGGAAACUCUGACGCAGCCACGCCGCGUGCCGGAAGACGGCCCUAUGGGUUGUAAACGGCUUUUGUUCGGGAAGAAAGUACGGGUUUUGAUCUGUAUUGACGGUACCGAUUGAAUAAGCACCGGCUAACUCCGUGCCAGCAGCCGCGGUAAUACGGAGGGUGCAAGCGUUGUCCGGAAUCAUUGGGUGUAAAGGGUGCGUAGGCUGGUGUCUAAGUCUGGGGUGAAAUUUUGCCGCUUAACGGUAACAUGGCCUUGGAUACUGGAUGCCUUGAAUCUGACAGAGGUCGGUGGAAUUCGUAGUGUAGCGGUGAAAUGCAUAGAUAUUACGAAGAACACCAGUGGCGAAGGCGGCCGGCUGGGUCAGUAUUGACGCUGAGGCACGAGAGCGUGGGGAGCGAACAGGAUUAGAUACCCUGGUAGUCCACGCUGUAAACGAUGUAUGCUAGUUGUUGGGCCUUUGGGUUCAGUGACGCAGUUAACGCAGUAAGCAUACCACCUGGGGGAGUACGUUCGCAAGAAUGAAACUCAAGGAAUUGAC